UCUUCCGUAGUAUAGUGGUCAGUAUGUGAGCUUGUCAAUGCCUUCUGGCAGUGUCAUCGCUCGAGACCCGGGUUCAAUUCCCGGCGGGAGAG